AACAUGCCUCGAGUCUCUGGCCCCCUGCUCCAGCGUGAACCCACCCUUUCGUGGGGUCGGUAGUAKCGUUGGCGGUUUGGGGACCGGAGCGCUUUUAUUAGAUCGCAAAAGACCAACUUGGUUCUCUUGUGAUGACUCCGGAUAUACAUUGCCGAGCACACUAUCUGGCGGCGUGGCCUUGAGCGGCGCGCCGUCGGUGCCCAUCCUUUCGAGUGUCUGCCUUAUCAUGCUGUCGAAGGCUGGCCAAGUGUCAGCGAUGGCUAUGACGGGUGACGGGGAAUCUGGGUUCGAUUCCGGAGAGGGAGCCUGAGAAACGGCUACCACAUCUAAGGAAGGCAGCAGGCACGCAAAUUACCCACUCCCGGCUCGGGGAGGUAGUGACGAGAAAUAACAAUGUGAGACUCAUUCCGAGCUCUUGCAAUUGGAAUGAGCUCACUUUAAAUCCUUGUGCAAGGAUCUAUUGGAGGGCAAGUCUGGUGCCAGCAGCCGCGGUAAUUCCAGCUCCAAUAGCAUAUGCUAUUAUUGUUGCGGUUAAAAAGCUCGUAGUUGGAUCUAUAUACAGGGCGGCGGGGUUAGCUGCUAUCUUUUAGCAAUAGCUGCCCCGUUCGUAUCCUGUAAAGCCCUUACCCGCCUUCACCGUUACGAGGGCGUGGUCUUUGCCCCGUUUGUCAGUGUAAGUCGGCCGCCUCGGCYCGUGCUGCUGCUGCUGCYUCUUCGSGGGGGUANGUAUGUAUGUAGUUGCGGGUUCGAGUGCGUGUCGCGCUGUACCCGUGGUGGCCACGUCCCAGGGGGAGGUUUGUGGUGGGCGACCUGCCGACACUAAGCUCUUGCAUGCCUUUCAUCGGGUGUGCUCGAGUCGCUGUCGUGCAAGUUUACUCUGAAUAAAUUAGAGUGCUCAGAGCAGGCCAAAAACAGGCCUGAAUGGGAGUGCAUGGAAUAAUGGAAUAGGACCUUGGUUCUAUUUUCCGUUGGUCUUUAUUGAACCCAAGGUAAUGAUGAAUGGGAACAAUCGGGGGCAUUUGUAUUGAGGCGCGAGAGGUGAAAUUCUGUGACCGUCUCAAGACAACCAAAAGCGAAAGCAUUUGCCAAGGAUGUUUUCAUUAAUCAAGAGCGAAAGUUAGAGGUUCGAAGGCGAUCAGAUACCGCCCUAGUUCUAACCAUAAACGAUGCCAACCAGCAAUCCGUCGGGCUAAUACCAUGGCCCGGCGGGCAGCUUUCCCCGGGAAACCAGAGUCUUUGGGUUCCGGGGGAAGUAUGGUUGCAAAACUGAAACUUAAAGGAAUUGACGGAAGGGCACCACCAGGAGUGGAGCCUGCGGCUUAAUUUGACUCAACACGGGGAACCUCACCAGGCCCAGACACUAGUGGGAUUGACAGAAUGAUAGCUCUUUCUCGAAUUUAGUGGGUGGUGGUGCAUGGCCGUUCUUAGUUGGUGGAGUGAUUUGUCUGGUUAAUUCCGAUAACGAACGAGACUCUAGCCUACUAACUAGUCGACGGAUCUACAGGUGGUGUUGGCCUCUGCCUCGCUUUCCCUGCCCGGUGCUGGCUUGUCCCGUGCCAUAACCCCUUCUCCUGGGUAAGCGCUGCUUCGCUGUCGUUCAU
rnacentral:rRNA from 1 species